UUUUAUUCUAUGAUGUUUACAAAGCCAUGCCGCUCUGAAGAAUCCGUGUGGGCAGGAUCAACUGUUCUGAAAUGUCAGAAAUUUCGCAGAUACAGGCGCAGAUGAUAAUUGUCAUCCACCCGGGAUCCCUCUACCUCAGGAUCGGGAGAGCAUCGGACCUCAACCCUCACACGUUGCUGCACUGCGUGGCGAGGAAGCGGCUGGCAGGCGGGCUGGUGCACCACGACCCCUUCCUCCCGCCCCAGCUCGCCAAGUCGCCCGAGCUGCUCCAGGAGAUGGAGGAGGCCCGGCUGCAGGUGUCCCACACGCUGCAGUCCUGCCUGCAGUCGGACGGCAGCCGCCGCUACGCCACGCCGCCGCAGCAGAUCGCCGUCUUCAACCGCCGCGCCGUCCCCGAGGAAGUGAGCAGCACGGGCGGGGAGUGGAUCAAGCCGGAGACGGACGUCGUGGUGGGGGACGAGGUCCUGUACUUGGACCCCAGGCUGGACUACAACGUGCACUUCCCGUACCGCCGGGGCGAGCUCAACGUACACCCGGGUCCCGGCGGCUCGCUCACUGCCGUGUUGGCCAACCUGGAGGCUAUCUGGAGCUGGGUUGUCCGCUAUCGCCUCGAGAUACCGCUCAAGGACCUGCGGCACUACCGAGCCGUGCUCGUCAUCCCGGACAUUUACAACAGGCAACACCUCAGAGAGCUGAUGACUCUCCUGCUGUGCAGGAUCGGGUUCGGCGGGUGUUUCCUGCUGCAGGACCAUGUGGCCGCCACGUUCGGAGCCGGGCUGGGCUACGCGUGCGUCGUGGAUGUUGGGGACCAGAAGACGUCGGUGUCCUGUGUCGAAGACGGCAUCUCGCACCGGAACACAAGGGUGCGCAUGGAGUACGGAGGAGGGGACAUCGCCCAGACGCUGUACUGGCUGCUGCAGAAGUGUGCGUUCCCCUACAAGGAGUGCGACCCGAGGAACAAGCUGGACUCCAUGUUGCUGCGCCAGCUCAAGGAGUCCUUCUGCCACGUGAACCUGGAUAUUUGUGGCUCCCAGGAGAAGACAUUUGUGGUGCGAAAGCCGAAAGUCCCAACCUGCAGAUACACACUUCAGGUGGGGGACGAGUGUAUAGUGGCGCCGCUGAGCCUCUUCCAGCCGGAGUUGUUCGGGGUGACGGGCCCCAAGGCUGUCCUCGUGCAGAAGCGCUCCCUCGGUGACCCCGAGGAUCCUCACGACGACAACUACCUGCGCGAGACUAGCCGGCGGGCGGCCAAGGAGUCCCUGGAGCCGCUGCCCGGCGGGGCGGAGCUGGACGGGGGCGGGCCCCCGGGGGAGGAGGACAUCGUGGUGGACGCCAUCGACCCCAUGGCGGCGGGGGCGGGCGGGCUGCGCGACCUGGAGGCCAAGGAGUUCGUGGUGGGGCCGGAGCAGGUGCUGGGGCUGGACCAGGCCGUGCUGCAGAGCAUCGACAGAUGUCCAACGGAAGACCUGAAGCGGAAGAUGUACGGAUGCAUCCUGGUGGUGGGCGGAGGCAUGAAGUUCACAGGAAUCGGCACGUGGCUUCAGAACAGGAUCUCCCUCCAAGUGCCGUACAUGUUUCGUACAGAGCAACUGGACAUCAUCACCAGCCCCAAGGAGAUGGACCCCGAGACGACCGCGUGGAAGGGGGCGGCCAUCAUGUCGUGCCUGGAGUCCGCCCUCGAGCUGUGGAUCUACCCCGUGGAGUGGGAGAAGAUAGGGCUGAAGGUGCUGCGCGAGAGGGCGCCCUUCAUGUGGUGACGGCUGCGACCGUGCCGUUAAUACGUGUACGUGCCAGCACACGUUCCUUUCUGACUGCAACAGGGUGGCAGGUUGCUACGAGAUGUUAAUGCCACUAAAAGGUCAUGAACACUACACACACUAACUGGUACACAGAAAUGCCUCUAUGUAAAGUGUUAUUUUGUCUGGGCACAUUGUAAGUUGUUCAUUCCAAGCUGAAAUAAUAAUAGAACCAAUUUUUUUUUUUUUUUAACUUUUUUGACUGUGGGAUUGAAAAAAAUUUCUUAAUUACAACUUGCAACAAUCAUGGUACAGAUUCAUUAAAUUUACUGUAUAAUGGUUUAAAAAUAUAUACAUAUAAUUUAAAAACGGAAUAAAAUGUUCUUGAGCAAAAAUAAAAUAAUUUUGUUAUUUUUGUUACACGCAACUAGAAUCAUUAGUUUAAUUUUUUAAUAUAUGUAUAAAGGUCCUUUCCUUUGUUCAGUUACUAGUGUUAAUCUGAAUAAAUUAGUGUUGUGCGAGAUCUCGAACCUCGAGAAAAAUUUCGAGAAGUAUUGCAUUCUCGAACAGCGAGCGAGAAAAAUAAUUUCGAAUUUUUUUUUUGUACCGGUAACAACUCAAUUUGGUAUGAAAACUAAAUUUGAUAUUGAUAGUUGUAUUUUAUAUAUUGAACAUUACACACACACUGCCAUUAUUUUAGUUUAAAUGUUUUAAAAAUACCAAACGCGUCUGCCUAUUGCGUCUGCCUGUAUGGACGAAAAAUGAUUUGGCGGCACACAAAGCAAACAUGAUGCAAUCAUUAAGAGAUACUAGACUAGCCGAUAGUCAACCAUCCUAAACCAUAUCAAUAACCGAAACUGUGAAUAAAAACUGUCAUAUGAAAUUCCAAUGUAUCCUGAAAGAAAAACUGCCAUAUUUAAUUUUUAAAUUACGUCAGCGUAAUACAUAAUAAAAUACAUUCAAACCUAACCUACAAAAUUGGUUUUGUUUACAUACACGUUAUUACGGUCAAGUUAUUAAAAGCAUUACCUUUAAUUUAGUCACAAUAUUUUGUUUGGUAAUGUUUAAUAGCAUACCGAAAUGUUGAUUAUUACGGCAAAAUACUAAAUUUAUUUUUUAAUGAACAAAAGGGAAUGGUGAUGGUGGUCAUGCUGCCAGACCGAGUCUGCUUCGCUGUUCCGUUUCUUAUUUCAUUUCCAAUAAAAGACUGCGUAAGUCAUGUGAUUGUUAAAUGGACUGGAAUGGAAAGGAAUGGAUUGAACACGCAGAACAAUUCACGCCCUUGUAUUACGUAAAAUUAAGUGAAUGUGUGUGUUCAAACCCGUUUAAAAGGCAGAAUAAAUAGUAUGUUCAUCCCAUUUCCUUUUCCACCUUUGUUUCACUCAGUCGUAAGACGUCACGAGUAAUGAAUCCCGCCAAAGCCUCUCUAGUAUCAAUUUCUUUGUUUUCAUUACACUACCAGAGUUUCCCGUUUACGCGAGCUACUCUGCGGGUACCUAUGAAUAAAUAAUGUGACUCCUGUAAUAUGUUAUUAGGAAUAUGAGAAUUAAUUUCUUAAUACUGCUUUAUCUCCAACUGCGGCGUAACCAAGUGGAAAGAAAAAAGUGUUGCGGGAAUAUAACAGUUUAACAGAAGUAAACUUUGUUGUCAAAUUAAACUUUGAUUUUACGGUAAAAUGGAAGAUGUGGACAUAUCAGUGUGGCAGUAUUACACAAAAAGUGGCGAUAAGUCAACGGGAACGUGUAACAUUUGUAGAAAAGUUAUCAAAACGAAGUCCGGAAAUACAUCAGGUCUACUGAGACAUAUUUCACAGCACUCUGCCAUAAAAAAUGAAUUUGAUGACCUUCAGAAACAAAAAUCAUCACAGCCUAGAUUUUCUAGUGUAGCUUAAAAUAGAGGAUACAUUUAAAUGGUCUCCAACUCAUGUGAAAGCUACAGCCAUCACAAAUUCAAUUGGGGAAUGGCUGGCUGAUGCCAUGUUACCUUAUAACACAGUGGAGACCACGUCUUUCAUAAAGUUCUUGGUACUGCACAGCCUCUAUACAGAGUACCUAGCAGAACUACGUUUUCACGCAGUGUAGUCCCCGGCUUGUAUCUUAGUAUCUUAGUAUCUUAAAGUUAAAGAAAAUGUGAGCAAACAAGUGGAAGAUGCAUUGGCAAGUGUAGCUUCCAUGUCUUCCACAUGUGACUUGUGGACUUCCCUUGCCAAUGAUGCGUUCAUGGAAGUGACAUGCCACUUUAUCAAAGAUUUUACCCUCAAGACUUUUUGUCCUGGUUGUCAUCACUUUCCGGGAGGUCACACUGGUGCUGCCAUUGCAGAUAAGUUUACUUCAGUCUUGCAAGAGUGGAACAUUGUCAAAUUAAAAGAUGCAAUACCCCUAUACGGUAUGUAGUUACAGAUAAUGGUAGAAACAUAAAGCUUGGUAUGUCAAUGUGCUGUGUAGAACUUGUUCAACUUCAAUGUUUUGCACAUACAUUGCAGUUAGCAUUAAAUGAUGCACUGAAGGAGACUGAUGGAAUGGGCAGCAUGUUGAAAAGAGCUAGGACAAUUGUUGGACAUUACAAGCAUAGCUCCAGUGCUACUGAGAAACUUCAUAAAAUUCAAACUGAACUUGGACUGCCAGCACUGAGUUUGAUCCAAGAUUGUGCGACUAGAUGGAACUCAGAGUAUCUUAUGCUCAGCAGGUUACUAGAAAAUAAAGAAGCACUUGCAUGUCAUUUGGCCACUCAAAAUAUUGACAACUUAACAGUCUCUGAAUGGCAACUCGUUCAAGGAUACGUCGAAAUUUUGAAACCGUUAUAUGAAGCCACAACUGAAUUAUGUGCAGAACAGUCUCCUUCAGCUUCAAUGGUAAUACCAGUUUUAUUUUCUGUGACACAAUAUCUCGCAGGUUAUGUAAAUAAAAAUAAGGGAAUAAUGGGAGCUGGUGUGGUGUUUGCUAGAGCACUGCUUCAGUCUUUGAAGGCGAGGUUCCCUUUGUUUGAAAGAAGUGAACCAUGUUACACUGCCAUGCUAGUAGAUCCACGAUUCAAGCACGUUGUACCCAAAGAUUAAAAAAAUGAUGGCAGUUGAGCAUUUGAAGCGAAAAGUGGAACAAAUUUCACCUUCACAAACAAACACACCAGGUAAGCUCAAGUGUUGAAUUAAAAUUUUUUUAAGGCUUCAAAUAUUGAUCAAUAUUAAAUAUAUUAUGAGUAACAUGUAUGUUUCAGGACACUAACUUCAACAUUACCUACAUUAACGUUAAAAAAAACAUAUUUGUCAUACUUACAUAAUUUUGAAUGCCUACUAUAUUAUUUUUUUAACAAUGUGUACAGCUGUUUAAAGUUUGUAUAUCUACAAAGUGUGUAUUUAUUGAGGUUGUCAAAAUGUUAUAUUUAAAGCAAAAUAUAUUCUCUCUGAUUCAGAAAAACCUGAAGCUCAAGAAAAGAAAUCAUCUCUCUGGAAUGUGUUCGAUGAACUGGCACAACAGGCUGAAAAUAAUGGCAACAUGGAAGUGUCAGACUAUCUUUCUUUGCCUACUAUUCCAAGAGCGGAUGACCCCUUAAAAUGGUGGAAAGAGAAGGGCAUUAGUCUUUACCCCCAAUUGUGCAAAAUUGCAAUGCAGUUUCUCGGGAUUCCUGCGACUGAGGCAGCCAGUGAACGAGUGUUCUCAGGAGCUGGGGACAUUGUGAGCUGCAGGAGACAACUUCUUGUAACCGAUAGCUGCCGCUGAGCGGAGUUCUGGAGCGGGGCAUCGUCUGCUUCAAAAACAUAUUCCACUACACUUGGGUGUUCCGUAGAUCGCAACACUCAAUAGGGCCGUAUUUACGGCAAAAACCUGAAGAUGAAGACUUAGUGUGCCAAUGCUUCCAUCUAGUCACCUGUUUCACGUAUGACUUUUUAUCAGCAGUUUUUUAUUCUAUAAACAUUGCAGAGUAAUUUCUGUUUGUAGAAUGUUAUCCAAAUGGUUAAUAACAUGUAAAAUUACUUAUCUAAAAACUUAUGAAAAACAGAUUGUGCGCUAUUUGAAACUUCCGUAUAAAUAAAAAAAUAUAAUUUU